rnacentral:rRNA from 1 species
AGAACGAACGCUGGCGGCAGGCCUAACACAUGCAAGUCGAACGGGUGUAGCAAUACAUCAGUGGCAGACGGGUGAGUAACGCGUGGGAAUCUCCCCAGAGGUACGGAACAACUCAGGGAAACUUGAGCUAAUACCGUAUGUGCCCGAGAGGACAAAGAUUUAUCGCCUUUGGAUGAGCCCGCGUUGGAUUAGCUAGUUGGUGGGGUAACGGCCUACCAAGGCUACGAUCCAUAGCUGAUCUGAGAGGAUGAUCAGCCACACUGGGACUGAGACACGGCCCAGACUCCUACGGGAGGCAGCAGUGGGGAAUCUUGGACAAUGGGCGCAAGCCUGAUCCAGCCAUGCCGCGUGAGUGAAGAGGCCUUAGGGUUGUAAAGCUCUUUACCCGGGAAGAGUAAUGACGGUACCGGAGAAUAACGCCCCGGCAAACCUUCGUACGCCAGCAGCCGC